rnacentral:rRNA from 1 species
AUUGAACGCUGGCGGCAUGCUCUACACAUGCAAGUCGAACGGUAACAGGCCGCAAGGUGCUGACGAGUGGCGAACGGGUGAGUAAUGCAUCGGAACGUGCCCAGUCGUGGGGGAUAACUACUCGAAAGAGUAGCUAAUACCGCGUACGAUCUAUGGAUGAAAGCGGGGGACCGUAAGGCCUCGCGCGAUUGGAGCGGCCGAUGUCAGAUUAGGUAGUUGGUGGGGUAAAGGCUCACCAAGCCAACGAUCUGUAGCUGGUCUGAGAGGACGACCAGCCACACUGGGACUGAGACACGGCCCAGACUCCUACGGGAGGCAGCAGUGGGGAAUUUUGGACAAUGGGCGCAAGCCUGAUCCAGCAAUGCCGCGUGCAGGAAGAAGGCCUUCGGGUUGUAAACUGCUUUUGUACGGAACGAAACGGCUCUGGUUAAUACCCGGGGCUAAUGACGGUACCGUAAGAAUAAGCACCGGCUAACUACGUG